CCUACGGGUGGCAGCAGUGAGGAAUAUUGGUCAAUGGGCGAGAGCCUGAACCAGCCAAGUCGCGUGAAGGAUGAAGGAUCUAUGGGUUGUAAACUUCUUUUAUAUGGGAAUAAAGUGAGGAACGUGUUCCUUUUUGUAUGUACCAUAUGAAUAAGCAUCGGCUAACUCCGUGCCAGCAGCCGCGGUAAUACGGAGGAUGCGAGCGUUAUCCGGAUUUAUUGGGUUUAAAGGGUGCGUCGGCGGACUGGAAAGUCCGCGGUAAAAUCGUGGGGCUCAACCUCUUACCGCCGUUGAAACUGUCGGUCUUGAGUGGGCGAGAAGUAUGCGGAAUGCGUGGUGUAGCGGUGAAAUGCAUAGAUAUCACGCAGAACUCCGAUUGCGAAGGCAGCAUACCGGCGCCCGACUGACGCUGAGGCACGAAAGCGUGGGUAUCGAACAGGAUUAGAUACCCGGGUAGUC
rnacentral:rRNA from 1 species